GACGAACGCUGGCGGCGUGCUUAACACAUGCAAGUCGAACGGAAAGGCCCUGCUUUUGUGGGGUGCUCGAGUGGCGAACGGGUGAGUAACACGUGAGUAACCUGCCCUUGACUUUGGGAUAACUUCAGGAAACUGGGGCUAAUACCGGAUAGGAGCUCCUGCUGCAUGGUGGGGGUUGGAAAGUUUCGGCGGUUGGGGAUGGACUCGCGGCUUAUCAGCUUGUUGGUGGGGUAGUGGCUUACCAAGGUUUUGACGGGUAGCCGGCCUGAGAGGGUGACCGGCCACAUUGGGACUAAGAUACGGCCCAGAAUCCUACGGGAGGCAGCAGUGGGGAAUAUUGCACAAUGGGCGGAAGCCUGAUGCAGCAACGCCGCGUGCGGGAUGACGGCCUUCGGGUUGUAAACCGCUUUCGCCUGUGACGAAGCGUGAGUGACGGUAAUGGGUAAAGAAGCACCGGCUAACUACGUG
rnacentral:rRNA from 1 species